AACGAUGUCGACUUGGAGGUUGUGCCCUUGAGGCGUGGCUUCCGGAGCUAACGCGUUAAGUUGACCGCCUGGGGAGUACGGCCGCAAGGUUAAAACUCAAAUGAAUUGACGGGGGCCCGCACAAGCGGUGGAGCAUGUGGUUUAAUUCGAUGCAACGCGAAGAACCUUACCUGGUCUUGACAUCCACAGAACUUUCCAGAGAUGGAUUGGUGCCUUCGGGAACUGUGAGACAGGUGCUGCAUGGCUGUCGUCAGCUCGUGUUGUGAAAUGUUGGGUUAAGUCCCGCAACGAGCGCAACCCUUAUCCUUUGUUGCCAGCGGUCCGGCCGGGAACUCAAAGGAGACUGCCAGUGAUAAACUGGAGGAAGGUGGGGAUGACGUCAAGUCAUCAUGGCCCUUACGACCAGGGCUACACACGUGCUACAAUGGCGCAUACAAAGAGAAGCGACCUCGCGAGAGCAAGCGGACCUCAUAAAGUGCGUCGUAGUCCGGAUUGGAGUCUGCAACUCGACUCCAUGAAGUCGGAAUCGCUAGUAAUCGUGGAUCAGAAUGCCACGGUGAAUACGUUCCCGGGCCUUGUACACACCGCCCGUCACACCAUGGGAGUGGGUUGCAAAAGAAGUAGGUAGCUUAACCUUCGGGAGGGCGCUUACCACUUUGUGAUUCAUGACUGGGGUGAAGUCG
rnacentral:rRNA from 1 species